GGUGUUGGCUGGGAAAUGCCGGUUAUUCCUGUGCCUGGAAUGGUUGGUCUUGUGUGUGUGACACAGCCAGAUGUCACUUCUCCUCAGCUGUCUCCUGUAGGAGCCUAACUUGGCUCUUUGCUUGUUGUCCUUCUGAGCCCUGUUCUCCCCUGAGGUGGAUGGCCCUGUGGCAUCACCACCAGAUUUUCCCUUCUAGCUUUCUCACCUGUGCUGAGGGCCAUCUCUCUCCGUUCCUGUGGUUUAUGUGGCUUCCUUGUGAUUCUUUGGCUCGUUUGACGCCUGUUCAAUCCUUCCAGGCUGGUUAAUCUCCCCAGCAGCCUGAUUGCUGGCCUGAUCUGAUCUAAGAUUUCUACGUGGGAUGUCUGGCACUUUGGUGACUUGCAGUUUGCCUUUCUCUCUUCUAUU
rnacentral:lncRNA from 1 species